AUCAGCCAUUUGCCGGCGGUACUGCGUGUAUUCGCAACCGCAGGUCACCUCUCCAGCCAUCUGCAAGGUAAAGAUAGUCAUGAACAUGUCCAGAUUGUUAACUCGGUUACCCCCGAUUUGGCAUCUGGGGGCAGAGGCAUGUCUGACAAUUCAAACAAUAAGUUUAUGCUAGCCUGUUGCUAUCUCCUACACUAUGGAGGAAGUACUAUUGAACAUUGGGAGUCUGAGAGUGCGCUGCAUAUUAUUUGGUGUGAAAAAGAAUAGAGUGAAGAAUUGAAGAGGAUCAUGCAAUCAGUCAGCACUCAUCAAUGAAAAAAGGAGACAGGAGACAGUAGGGCACUAUUUUUGUGGAUUUGUCCAUAUAUUAUAGAGGAUGGUGCACUACUGAAUACAAUCAGCGGCUAUCUCCUGUUGCAUUUCUUCUCAUCCGACAUAUGAGGUCCAUUUUAUGGAUCAGUUCUCUGUGUGGCAGUAAUUCAAGGCCAAAUAUGUAUCAUGUUUCUUCAAUGCAUGGAAAGUAUUUCCUUUUGCCUUUUUAUGUCUGUACAUUCAGAGAAAACUUCAUACAUUUUAUUGCUGCAUUGCUAGAUUUCUUUUAGGAGAAAAUAUAAUUUGGUUUUAUUUAUUUCUGGAUCAAAAACUUUAGGAUACCUAUCAUUUUAGUUUACCUUGCUAGAUUAGGCUGAUUAGUAUUGUUUUCUUGCAGGUGUGCUUCUCAUUCUUUUGUUGCUAUGUACACUCGCCCAGGUGUGCUUUUCAAGGUUUAUAUUAUUCUAAUUUGUGGUUAUUGAUUUUGUCUUCUGGUGUCAAACAACAAUUAGCAGAGUGGUUUGGGGAAGUUGAGUAGCCAGUUUAGCUUCCGCAAUUCAUGUGUAUUCUUUAUGCUCUGUCAUGCACACAAGAUUACCUUUCCUGAAUUUAGCUCCAACCAACAGUAAGUACUGCAUCUACCUUUAACAAUUUUGCAAUUUAUGGAUUGAAGGAGAUUAAGAAGUUUCUAAUUCAUGAUUACCUCAUUCGUUUCUCUCAAAUUCCAUUUACUUGCGAGGUCACCAUGCUUUCUGUUUUUUCCUUUUUAAAUAGUUAUGAUGCACUCCGUCUCUCCCUCAUGCGGCUCUGGCUGGCAUGGCCUCGCUCGCCUCGGUCUUCGUCGGCUCCGGUGAGGCGGGCCGUGGGUGUCAGCCCCGUCCUUCAUCGGCGGCGCGCUGGCAGUCCCGGUACUCUCUCUGCCCGCCACCCUCCCUCUACCCUGCCUCUUCUCCUUCCAGUUUUUUUCAUCCCGUUUGCUUUUAUGUGUGUGUCUCUCUACUGCUUGGGAGGGGAAAAGAUGGAGUUCGUUGGGAGAUGGGUUUGUGCUGGGAUCCCCUCUCCCCCAUGGCAUUACUGACUAAAUCCUCAAGGCCUAUGAAAUUUCUUCAAGUUUAGGUCUGGAAUCAUCUCCUUCUCCCCGUGCAGCUCAUCCUCGCCGGCAGG